GUCCACGCCGUAAACGAUGGAUGCUAGCCGUCGGCAAGCUUGCUUGUCGGUGGCGCAGCUAACGCAUUAAGCAUCCCGCCUGGGGAGUACGGCCGCAAGGUUAAAACUCAAAGGAAUUGACGGGGGCCCGCACAAGCGGUGGAGCAUGUGGUUUAAUUCUACGCAACGCGAAGAACCUUACCGGCUCUUGACAUGCCUCGAACCCCAGCAGAAAUGUCGGGGGCCCAGCAAUGGGCGGGGACACAGGUGCUGCAUGGCUGUCGU
rnacentral:rRNA from 1 species